rnacentral:lncRNA from 1 species
CAGCCCCUGGGCUUCCACUGAAACUAAUACUGGAUCCAACUUUUAACACUGAUAAUAUGUUGCCACCAAAUUGAAAACGUAAACAAGAUAUUCUAAGUGUGAUUAGAGUAUAUGCAACACAAGGAAGAAGCAGAACAUUCUUUUCCGGAAUCUGACAACGUGGCCGCAGUGUUUUUACUGGGAACAUUGAUUUCAGAUGUAUGUGAAAUACAAUAAACCGAAAACUAGAGACAGAUGAGACAGAGAGAGGUUAAUUAGAAAAAGAUUAUGGUAUCUAAGCAAAAUCUAGCCUCCUAGGCCCACCUUAAUCCCUCUUAAAUCCCCCAUCCCAACUCUGUUAACUAGUUAUCGUUCUCUUCUGAAGAGAUCGCACCUUCCUUGUGGUUCUCAGGGAUCCUCCCCAGCUCUUACUCUACUCCCCAUCCCGCGCACUGGGAUAGCCCCAUGCCCAUGUCCUUCCCCGCAGGCAGUGUUUCCAGCGAGGUGGUCCCACUGAACUUCUAGGGAUUUGGGGCAGAAAGCGAAUAUCCCAGAGUCCCAGAGCCCACGGGAGUUACUCUGGAGGGCCAGCCACAGAGGCGCACCAGUGGGUAACCAGCCACCUCCCACCACCCACCACCCGGAGGCUGGGCCAGCCCCUUUUUUCCGGACUCGGGAUCGACCUGGAGCUCCGAGAAUUUUCCUGGCCCAGUCAAGCAUGAAAAGGGUUCGCCGAUCUCGAGAAGCCAGAGAACCAGGGCUGCAGGCACCUCCCCGCCUGCUCUCCCGCUCCUGGCACAACCGUCUGACCAGCCUGCCGAGCCCCACCGCCCGCGCCGCGCCCCCGGCCGCCCCCGGCGCUCCCCGGCUCCUGCGGGCAGCGCUGCUGCUCCUGCUCCUGGUCGCCGCCGGCCAGCGUGCCGCAGGUGAGUCCCGGCAUACUGGGGUCCCCGGGGUGGGACGCGGCUGGAGUGGGCGCCCAGCACCUACGACUCCCCUCACCCAGCGAAUCUCUUCUUCCCUAGGAGAAUCCGUGGUCAAUGAACUGAGCUGCCAAUGCUUGCAGAUCCUGCAGAGAAUUCACCGCCAAGAACACGUGAAAUGUGAACAAGUCCCCAGGAUCCCACUGCGCCCAAACCGAAGGUUUUGGGGUACAUGUGAAGAAUAUGCAAGAUAGUUGCACAGGAUAAUGUUUAUCUCACUCCCUAACGGGCUUCAGACCUGAAAACUGAAUCUCCCUGAUUUGAGGCACAGUGGAACUCUUAAGUCUUCAUGGUGAAGAGUAGAGACUUUGCAGUAAGACCCUCACGAGUUGUUCGAGGCUCUAUGUCUUAGUAUCCUGAGUCUUAACAAACUGUGAAAACAAUAAAAACUACUUCAAAAGGUUUGCUAUAAACCUUAUGUGAGGUCAUGCAUGUAGAUUUUUAACCCAUUUAUAACCUUUGUUUCACUUUUUGAAGCAAAUAAUACAGUUGUAAUCACAGAUCCUCUAUUUCUAGUUAAAUAGUAUCCAGAAGCCUGGGGUUUUAUUUUGCUACACAGAACAACUCUCAUACCGGUAAUAACCACUUAGUGAGGGGCUAGAAGGAACGACCACGUUUGAAAAACCAUAGAAGGUAAGGAUCUAAGGCAGGAACAGGUGUCUGCAUGGUCAGUUUCUUGAGUAGCUACUGACAGCUAUCAUUUUUUCACCACAGGGGCAACACCAACUGACCUAGAGGGAAGGAGGAAGCAUAUCAGCUGCAAUUCCUAAAGGAGGUCUAUUCUUAGAGGAAUCAAAAUGAAAGAGAAAAAAAUUAGUUCCUGGGCACACCUGGACUUUGUUUAAUGUGUUUAACUGUUUCUUAUGAAGGUAGUUCUAAUUAUGUAUGUAUGUAUUUUUCAAAGCCUGUAUGUUAAGGUUCUUUCUGAUAUUGAAAGAUAUGGAUAUGUUUGUUAAUUCACUGUAAUGUUAUUCUGAAAGUUAUUUUUUGUGUUAAAUCAAAGUUUAGUCCUUACUGUCAUCUAACUUGAAGAUGAUGGAUUUUACAUGUUCUCUAUUCGUUAAGUGGUGAUGGAGAGUUCACAUCAUGUCAGACAUUGUGAUAGUGGCUGAAAAUAAAUAGUGGGGAUCCAAGCUGAUAGAUCCCUGUUAAGAUAAAGGCAUGUAUGUCCCAUCUCUUGUAACUGUUUAGAAGAAUGUCAGUUGUUAUUUAUCAAAACUUCCAACAUAUCUGAUAUUGAAGCUUUAAAAACUACAAUGUCCUAAUUAUCCUUUGGAUAUUUUAUGUCUUCCUUGUGAGGCAUAAUGCUUUAUUUUGUAUUAAUUAUGCAAUGAUUCUCUAUGAUUUGGAAUAAUAUAGUUUAUUUACUGAUGUAUUUUAACACAAAAAAUACAUGAAAAUAAAACCUUUCCAAAAAAAUCACACCU